ACUCCUACGGGAGGCAGCAGUGGGGAAUUUUCCGCAAUGGGCGCAAGCCUGACGGAGCAACGCCGCGUGAGGGAUGAAGGCCUCUGGGCUGUAAACCUCUUUUCUCAAGGAAGAAGAACUGACGGUACUUGAGGAAUAAGCCACGGCUAAUUCCGUGCCAGCAGCCGCGGUAAUACGGGAGUGGCAAGCGUUAUCCGGAAUUAUUGGGCGUAAAGCGUCCGCAGGCGGUCUUGAAAGUCUGUUGUUAAAGCGUGGAGCUCAACUCCAUUUCAGCAAUGGAAACUAGAAGACUAGAGUGUGGUAGGGGCAGAGGGAAUUCCCGGUGUAGCGGUGAAAUGCGUAGAUAUCGGGAAGAACACCAGUGGCGAAGGCGCUCUGCUGGGCCAUAACUGACGCUCAUGGACGAAAGCCAGGGGAGCGAAAGGGAUUAGAUACCCCAGUAGUCC
rnacentral:rRNA from 1 species